rnacentral:lncRNA from 1 species
CCAAGCCAUGAUGUUGUAGGAAUUGUCUGUAGAGCUCAGAGACAGGAUUGUGUCCAGGCACAGAUCUGAAGAAGGAUACCAAAACAUUUCUGCAGCAUUGAAGGUCCCAAAGAACACAGUGGCCUCCAUCAUUCUUAAAUGGAUGAAGUUUGGAGAGUAGGACUUUUAUUCUCUUAAAGAAGUUCGAUGGAAUUUAAACUGUGGGCAUUUCUCCUUUGCCAAGAUAAUCCAUCCACCUGGCAGGUGUGGCAUAUCAAGAAGCAUGAUCCUUACACAGGUGCACCUUCUGCUGGGGACAAUAAAAGACCACUCAAAUGUGCAAUUUUGUCAUACAACACAAUGACCUGCAUACUCCCCAGACAUGUCACCCAUUGAACAUUUUUGGGAUGUUCUGGAUCGACGUGUACGACAGCGUGUUCCCGACAAUAUCAUGCAACUUCGCACAGGCAUUGGAGAGGAGUGGGACAACAUUCCACGGGGAACAAUCAACAGCUAUAACUCUAUGCGAAGGAGAUUUUUGCGCUGCAUGAGGCAAAUGGUGGUCACACCAGAAAUUGACUGGUUUUCUGAUCCACGCCCCUACCUUUUUUUUAAGGUAUCUGUAAUAAAGUAGUGUGCAAUCCAUAGAUUAGGGCCACAUUUAAAUGUCCUUAUGAACUGUAACAACGUAAAAUCUUUUGAAUUGUUGCAUGUUGUGUUUUAGAUUUUUGUUCAGUGUAGUAAAUGAGAGUAGUUGAUUUUAUAGGCCUCUUCCAAAUUGCUAGGUAUUAAUACACCCAGGUAUUUUGUCUGUCAAUUUCCACUGAAAUCUACUAUAUAAGAUUGAAGAGUAAUAACUGAAAUAAUAGCAUUUUACAUUUUAGUCAUUUAGCAGACGCUCUUAUCCAGAGCGACUUACAGUAGUGAGUGCAUACAUUUCAUUUCAUGCAUUUUUUUUUUUGUACUGCCAUUUCUAAUUGUCUCCCAAGUCACUUUGAAUCCUGAUACAGCACCAUAAACUGUAUGUCCAGUUGCAAAAUAAAUGACAGAAUGUUCAGAUAAAUACAGUAAAAUGUAAUCUGGAUACAAUAUCGCAUGUUCUACACCAAUCUCUAUUCCCCGGUUUGAGCCAUGAGUUAUUAUUUAUUGAGGCUAGGGGUUCCGUGGCUAAAGCAAAUAAAUAAC